rnacentral:rRNA from 1 species
UGGGGAAUUGUUCGCAAUGGGCGCAAGCCUGACGACGCAACGCCGCGUGGAGGAUGAAGGUCUUCGGAUUGUAAACUCCUGUUGAUCGGGACGAACAACCAUCGGGAUAACACCCCGGAGGUCUGACGGUACCGAUUGAGGAAGCCCCGGCUAACUCUGUGCCAGCAGCCGCGGUAAUACGUAGGGUCCGAGCGUUGUCCGGAGUUACUGGGCGUAAAGCGCGCGCAGGCGGCUUGGUAAGACUGGCGUGAAAGCCCCCGGCUCAACCGGGGAGGGUCGUUGGUGACUGCCAGGCUUGAAGCCAGCAGGGGCAGGUGGAAUUCCCGGUGUAGUGGUGAAAUGCGUAGAGAUCGGGAGGAACACCCGUGGCGAAGGCGGCCUGCUGGGCUGGGCUUGACGCUGAGGCGCGAAGGCGUGGGGAGCGAA